ACUUUUUCUCACAUAAUUUUUUAGUAUCUCUCCUCUUCGUCUUUCUCUCUUUUUUCUUCUCUCACGAGACUUGAUCUCUCUUUCUCGAUCUCACGAGACCAUCAUCGAUCACGACAUCGAUCAAUCCUUUUGGGUCAUUGCUUUUGGGUUAUCGAUCACAACACGUCAACUCAUCUUCCGAUUUGACCUUAUGGUUCACUGAUUUUGGGUGAAUCAAACUCUAUUUUUCUUCAAUUUGAUCUUGUGGGUCACUGAUUUUGCUGAUUUGGGAUCGAUUUUGAAGUGAAUUUUUCUGGGUUUGAAAGUGACCUUUGUCCUUCUUGAGUAAUGAUUGAAGCUAUUCAUGUUUAGUAUCCGACUGUUGCCUAGUAAUGUCCAAGAUCUAUUGUGUACUCGGUCUUGGAUAUAUGGUUAUAUGCUUGAUGAUGAAGAUGAUAAUGGCGAAGGUGAGACUGUUGUAAUUAGAUCGAGGCCAACUGAUGUUGAAGACGUGAUCACGCAUCCACCAGAAUAAGUCUCAUUUAUUGUUCUUGAUCUCUAACAGGUUUACCUCGAGCUCCCCAAUGGUAAAGAAUUAGCUUAAGCACUCUACUCUAAGCAAUCAGUCUUUGCGAGUACAGAUUA